rnacentral:rRNA from 1 species
GCCGCGGUAAUACGGAGGGUGCAAGCGUUAAUCGGAAUUACUGGGCGUAAAGCGCACGCAGGCGGUCUGUCAAGUCGGAUGUGAAAUCCCCGGGCUCAACCUGGGAACUGCAUUCGAAACUGGCAGGCUUGAGUCUUGUAGAGGGGGGUAGAAUUCCAGGUGUAGCGGUGAAAUGCGUAGAGAUCUGGAGGAAUACCGGUGGCGAAGGCGGCCCCCUGGACAAAGACUGACGCUCAGGUGCGAAAGCGUGGGGAGCAAACAGGAUUAGAUACCCUGGUAGUCCACGCCGUAAACGAUGUCUACUUGGAGGUUGUGCCCUUGAGGCGUGGCUUCCGGAGCUAACGCGUUAAGUAGACCGCCUGGGGAGUACGGCCGCAAGGUUAAAACUCAAAUGAAUUGACGGGGGCCCGCACAAGCGGUGGAGCAUGUGGUUUAAUUCGAUGCAACGCGAAGAACCUUACCUGGUCUUGACAUCCACAGAACUUUCCAGAGAUGGACUGGUGCCUUCGGGAACUGUGAGACAGGUGCUGCAUGGCUGUCGUCAGCUCGUGUUGUGAAAUGUUGGGUUAAGUCCCGCAACGAGCGCAAC